GCCUAGUCUACUCUAUAGUCUAAUAUGUAGUCUAGUCUAUAGCCUCGUAUAUAGUAUAUACGACUAGACUAUAGACUAUACUAUAUACAAGGCUAUAGACUAGAUUACAUAUUAGACUAUAGAGUAGACUAGG
rnacentral:pre_miRNA from 1 species